rnacentral:rRNA from 1 species
AUGGGAGUUCAAGCAGAUCGAAGACCUCCUGGGGGUCUGGAUGGCCUCUAUGGGGUACAACUUGCGGGCCGGUCACCGUACAGUGAUGAUGAAGCUAUCAAAACAAGCAUUAUGGAUUCGUCAGCUAUGGAGCAGCAGGGGGGUGUCGGCAUGACUCGAAGUUUGAAGAUCAAGCAACUCUGGCGACAGAGACCCCCAUGCCUGAAGCCUAUUCACUGUAGUCUCUCAUGUGAUAAAAAUGUAGCUGAAACUGUUGCUAAUGUCGUCACAUCACUUCCUUUCAUCUUUCUUGGACUGCAGACACCAAGGCAAGUGCAUCUACGAACAACUAGAUUGCUUCUUCAAAGAAAGACCUUGAAUACUACACUUUAUGCUAACUCACUAAUUGGAGUUGGAGUUGCAUCUAGCUUGUAUCAUACUUCACGAGGAGAAAUCAGAAAAUACAUGCGGUGGGCAGACUACACAAUGAUCGCCACUACAACACUGUGCCUAACAAGAGCGCUUCGGGAUGAACAUCCAAGAUUACUAAUGGCAGCAUCAACGUUGCUCCUACCAUUCCAGCCCUUGAUGGUCACAGCCCUCCACACUGGGAUGAUGGAGGCAAGUAUUUUUUCCAAGCUCUCCAGCCAUGUUACUUUCAGAAUAAUAGACCAUCCUAGGGAGGAUUUAUUUCUUUGGUUCUUAACAUAUUCAUCUAUGAGUCUUUCCCUCGAAAUGACACACAAGAGUUCUCUUCUGCCCCAGGUUUCAUUUGCGAAACGAGCAUCCACAGAGCCAGAGCUCAAGACGGCACAUAACCUGCACAGGAUGUCGUCUCUGCUGGGUGGUGCGCUGUUCAUCGCCGAUGAUGUUUUCCCGCAGACCCCUUACAUCCACGCUGCAUGGCAUCUAGCUGCAGCGUUAGGCGUCUGCACAUGCAACAAGCUUCUUGAAUGA